AGUGAACGCUGGCGGUAGGCCUAACACAUGCAAGUCGAACGGCAGCACAGUAAGAGCUUGCUCUUACGGGUGGCGAGUGGCGGACGGGUGAGGAAUACAUCGGAAUCUACUUUUUCGUGGGGGAUAACGUAGGGAAACUUACGCUAAUACCGCAUACGACCUACGGGUGAAAGCAGGGGAUCUUCGGACCUUGCGCGAUUGAAUGAGCCGAUGUCGGAUUAGCUAGUUGGCGGGGUAAAGGCCCACCAAGGCGACGAUCCGUAGCUGGUCUGAGAGGAUGAUCAGCCACACGGGAACUGAGACACGGUCCAGACUCCUACGGGAGGCAGCAGUGGGGAAUAUUGGACAAUGGGCGCAAGCCUGAUCCAGCCACACCGCGUGGGUGAAGAAGGCCUUCGGGUUGUAAAGCCCUUUUGUUGGGAAAGAAAAGCAGCAGGUUAAUACCCCGCUGUUCUGACGGUACCCAAAGAAUAAGCACCGGCUAACUGCGU
rnacentral:rRNA from 1 species